rnacentral:rRNA from 1 species
UUUACCUACGGGGGGCAGCAGUGGGGAAUAUUGCACAAUGGGGGAAACCCUGAUGCAGCGACGCCGCGUGAGUGAGGAAGUAUUUCUGUAUGUAAAGCUCUAUCAGCAGGGAAGAAAAUGACGGUACCUGACUAAGAAGCCCCGGCUAACUACGUGCCAGCAGCCGCGGUAAUACGUAGGGGGCAAGCGUUAUCCGGAUUUACUGGGUGUAAAGGGAGCGUAGACGGUUACGCAAGUCUGGAGUGAAAGGCGGGGGCCCAACCCCCGGACUGCUUUGGAAACUGUAUAACUGGAGUGC